AUUGAACGCUGGCGGCAUGCCUUACACAUGCAAGUCGAACGGUAACGGGCCUUCGGGUGCCGCCGAGUGGCGAACGGGUGAGUAAUACAUCGGAACGUGCCCGAUCGUGGGGGAUAACGAGGCGAAAGCUUUGCUAAUACCGCAUACGAUCUACGGAUGAAAGCAGGGGACCGCAAGGCCUUGCGCGGACGGAGCGGCCGAUGGCAGAUUAGGUAGUUGGUGGGAUAAAAGCUUACCAAGCCGACGAUCUGUAGCUGGUCUGAGAGGAUGAUCAGCCACACUGGGACUGAGACACGGCCCAGACUCCUACGGGAGGCAGCAGUGGGGAAUUUUGGACAAUGGGCGCAAGCCUGAGCCAGCCAUGCCGCGUGCAGGAUGAAGGCCUUCGGGUUGUAAACUGCUUUUGUACGGAACGAAAAGCCUUCUUUUAAUACAGGAGGGUCAUGACGGUACCGUAAGAAUAAGCACCGGCUAACUACGU
rnacentral:rRNA from 1 species